AUCCAGAUAACGAGCCCCAAAUAGGACUAAAUGUGCAUCCUGGAU
rfam:Trichobilharzia regenti genome assembly, scaffold: TRE_scaffold0015624